AGAGUUGAUCAUGGCUACAGGACGAACGCUGGCGGCGUGCCUAACACAUGCAAGUCGAGCGAGGAGAUUCCUCGGGAUGAUCCUAGCGGCGGACGGGUGAGUAACACGUGGGCAACCUGCCUCAUAGAGAGGAAUAGCCUUCCGAAAGGGAGAUUAAUACCUCAUAACAUUGCAGUUUCGCAUGGAACAGCAAUUAAAGGAGUAAUCCGCUAUGAGAUGGGCCCGCGGCGCAUUAGCUAGUUGGUGAGGUAACGGCUCACCAAGGCGACGAUGCGUAGCCGACCUGAGAGGGUGAUCGGCCACAUUGGGACUGAGACACGGCCCAGACUCCUACGGGAGGCAGCAGUGGGGAAUAUUGCACAAUGGGGGAAACCCUGAUGCAGCCAACGCCGCGUGAGUGAUGACGGCCUUCGGGUUGUAAAGCUCUGUCUUCAGGGACGAUAAUGACGGUACCUGAGGAGGAAGCCACGGCUAACUACGUGCCAGCAGCUGC
rnacentral:rRNA from 1 species